AGAAGAAGAAGAAGAACACCUUUUCACGACACUGAGAGUCAUCUGAGUAAAUGUUUGUUGUGAAUCUGCACGGGUUUGUGUGUGUGUGUCUGUUUCUA